rnacentral:rRNA from 1 species
UACGUAGGGUGGCAAGCGUUAUCCGGAAUUAUUGGGCGUAAAGAGCUGCGUAGGCGGUUUGUCGCGUUCUGCUGGUGAAACCCGACGGCUCAACCUCGGGCCUGCAGUGGGUACGGGCAGACUAGAGUGCGGUAGGGGAGAUUGGAAUCCUGGUGUAGCGGUGGAUGCGCAGAUAUCAGGAGGAACACCGAUGGCGAAGGCAGAUCUCUGGGCCGUAACUGACGCUGAGACGCGAAAGCGUGGGGAGCAAACAGG